rnacentral:rRNA from 1 species
UACGUAGGGUGCAAGCGUUGUCCGGAUUUAUUGGGCGUAAAGAGCUCGUAGGCGGUCUGUCACGUCGGCUGUGAAACCUCGGGGCUCAACCCCGAGCCUGCAGUCGAUACGGGCAGACUAGAGUUCGGCAGGGGAGACUGGAAUUCCUGGUGUAGCGGUGAAAUGCGCAGAUAUCAGGAGGAACACCGGUGGCGAAGGCGGGUCUCUGGGCCGAUACUGACGCUGAGGAGCGAAAGCGUGGGGAGCGAACAGG